CCUACGGGCGGCUGCAGUGGGGAAUAUUGGACAAUGGGCGAAAGCCUGAUCCAGCCAUGCCGCGUGUGUGAAGAAGGCCUUCGGGUUGUAAAGCACUUUCAGUGGGGAAGAAAGCCUUGGGGCUAAUACCCUCGAGGAAGGACAUCACCCACAGAAGAAGCACCGGCUAACUCCGUGCCAGCAGCCGCGGUAAUACGGAGGGUGCGAGCGUUAAUCGGAAUUACUGGGCGUAAAGCGCGCGUAGGCGGUCUGAUAAGCCGGUUGUGAAAGCCCCGGGCUCAACCUGGGAACGGCAUCCGGAACUGUCAGGCUAGAGUGCAGGAGAGGAAGGUAGAAUUCCCGGUGUAGCGGUGAAAUGCGUAGAGAUCGGGAGGAAUACCAGUGGCGAAGGCGGCCUUCUGGGCUGACACUGACGCUGAGGUGCGAAAGCGUGGGUAGCAAACAGGAUUAGAUACCCUAGUAGU
rnacentral:rRNA from 1 species